CCUACGGGCGACAGCAGUGAGGAAUAUUGGUCAAUGGACGGGAGUCUGAACCAGCCAAGCCGCGUGAGGGAGGAAGGCACUGUGUAUUGUAAACCUCUUUUAUAUGGGAAUAAAAUGUUCCACGUGUGGGAGGUUGUGUGUACCUGAUGAAUAAGGAUCGGCUAACUCCGUGCCAGCAGCCGCGGUAAUACGGAGGAUGCGAGCGUUAUCCGGAUUUAUUGGGUUUAAAGGGAGCGUAGGUGGAUUGUUAAGUCAGUUGUUAAAGUUUGGGGCUCAACCGUGAAAUUGCAGUUGAAACUGGCAGUCUUGAGUAGGGUAGAGGUGGGCGGAAUUCGUGGUGUAGCGGUGAAAUGCUUAGAGAUCACGAAGAACUCCGAUUGCGAAGGCAGCUCACUGG
rnacentral:rRNA from 1 species